rnacentral:lncRNA from 12 species
ACCUUCUGACAAUACAUCAGGAGGAUCAUCUGCUUGCAGCCUACACUUGACCUCGAGUCACUGAAACCAUAGAAAGCUAAACUGCAGAUGAAGAAGCCUGGAGAAGAGAAAGAAUCAAGUAGGAACAACAUAGCUAGAACGUCUGCAAUUAUGUAACCUGGAUGUUUUCCAGUCAUUUUUGCUACCAUUAAUACAAUUCGUAUGAUGUCCCAACUCAAAAGAAGAUAACAGCAAAACUGAGAAAUGCAGAGAAAGAGAGCUGGAAUCUUGAUGACACAUGACCCUAAAUGAAACGGCUCCUCUGAUACUGGUAUGCCUUUGGAUUUUCUAUUAGGAACUAAUUUUGAAGCACCAGAAUGCUGUGAAUUGGCUGUAAAACAAUGUUGAAGAAACUCAACAUAGAACAGAAGGCACACUUUC